rnacentral:ncRNA from 1 species
CUAUGACUCUCUUAAGGUAGCCAAAUGCCUCGUCAUUAACUAAUAUAGGUGACGAAAAGCUAGCUGCGUGCGGUGGCAGCACGAUAAACAGUCUAGCUAGUUGCUCUGCGCGAGCAGCGACACUGUCAAAUUGCGGGAACCUCCUAAAGAUCCUACUACCAAGUUGUGUUUGAAAGAGCACGAUGGCCGAGCUAACAGCCCUGGGUACGGUAAAAAUGUAGGAUAUGAACUCGCGAGAGUGAAAUGGACGAUCCGCAGCCAAGCUCCUACGGCGAGUUUUAUUGGUUGAGCAGCUGUUUUCUUAAAGUGACAGCUGUAACCUUAAAUUGCUAUGGAGAAGGUUCAGAGACUAGACGGCAGUGGGUCGAAAGGCUUAAGAUAUAGUCCACGCCGGCUCGAAAGAGCUGG